rnacentral:tRNA from 1 species
GCCCAGAUUGCUCAGUCAGUAGAGCAUGAGACUCUUAAUCUCAGGGUCGUGGGUUCGGGCCCCAUGUGGGGCA